UAAUCUUUUUAGUUGUAAAUUUGAGAUUCUUUUCCUUAUUUGUAUAGAGACGUGCAAGAAAAAUAAGAUAUUUGUUUGCACAUUUUCAUUAUUAUUAGUUACAUUAUUGAAUAGUCUUAAUCAAUCUACCCCCACUUUAUAAGUCUUGUGAAGCUGCAUUUUCUUUCCACACUAUUCUUACUUUGUUGAACUAAUUUAUGGAGGCUAUGGUUGGAGGAUCAUUUCUUUCAGCUUCUGUGGAUACAAUGUGUUGAUCUAUAAGGUGAAGACAACACUACUCAGACUUCAAUCCGAACUUCGUAAAGGCGGGGACAAACAGUUCACUCAUGAUCUGGUCAAGUAGUUGCCUAUGAAGAUUUGUUUGAUGAAAUCAACACUGAGGCAUUGCUGUGCAAUAUUGAAGCUAAUCAGAACUCAGAUUAAAAGGUUGCCUUUAGAAACAUGCAAGCUUUACGAUUUGUAGACUUUGUUGUUGUCAAGUUGCCAAGAACUCAUUGAAUUGCCAAAGGACGUGGGGAAAUUGGUGAAACUACGCCACCUUGACAUCAGAGGCACUAAAUUGAAGAAAAUGCUGACACAAAUUUCCAAGUUAAAGAAUCUAUAGUCAUUGUCAGACUUUGUUGUGAGCAACCUUAAGGACUUUGGAUUUAAGAUUAAAGAUCUUGGAAAAUAUCCCCAUCUACGGGGAAACCUUUCCAUCUCACAACUUGAAAAUGUAAAUGACCUAUCUCAUGCUUCUGAAGCAAACUUGGAGAUGAAAAUUUUGGAACUAGGAUGUUUUCAUAUUACUCAUUCAAACUCACAAAUACAAAAUAUUGUAUUUGUCAACAAAUUUGAAGAGUCUGUCCAUCUUCGGAUAUGGUGGAGAUAAAUUACUAAAUUGGUUGGACAUACCUUUAUUUAGCAACAGGGUGUGUAUGAAGAUCCCGAAAUGUAAAAACUGUUCAAUGCUUCCAUCCAUGGGGCUACUAGGUAAUCUUAAAGAACUCUUUAUUAGUGGGAUGCAAUCAAUAAAGAGUGUAAAUACAGUGUUCUAUGAAAGUGGUUCUCCUUCCUUUCAACCA